rnacentral:rRNA from 1 species
UACAGGGGGGGGCAAGCGUUGUUCGGAAUUACUGGGCGUAAAGGGCUCGUAGGCGGCCAACUAAGUCAGAUGUGAAAUCCCCAGGCUUAACCUGGGAACUGCAUCUGAUACUGGAUGGCUUGAAUCCGGGAGAGGGAUGCAGAAUUCCAGGUGUAGCGGUGAAAUGCGUAGAUAUCUGGAGGAAUACCGGUGGCGAAGGCGGCAUCCUGGACCGGCAUUGACGCUGAGGAGCGAAAGCUAGGGGAGCAAACGGG